UACGUAGGGGGCAAGCGUUGUCCGGAAUCAUUGGGCGUAAAGAGCGUGUAGGCGGCCACUUAAGUCCUGCGUGAAAUCUUGCGGCUCAACCGCAAGCGGUCGUGGGAAACUGGGUGGCUAGAGUGCGGGAGAGGAGAGUGGAAUUCCUGGUGUAGCGGUGGAAUGCGCAGAUAUCAGGAAGAACACCCGUGGCGAAGGCGGCUCUCUGGACCACAACUGACGCUGAGGCGCGAAAGCUGGGGGAGCAAACAGG
rnacentral:rRNA from 1 species